AAUCUAUGGUGUGGGCAUUUCUGAAUUAGCAUCUUAAAAUGCUCCUAUGCUUCAUGAAAACUUUCCCCUUUUAACUGCUUGAACAUAAAAAUUUCCCUUCUUAGCAG
rfam:Gossypium raimondii chromosome 12, whole genome shotgun sequence.